CCCAGGGCCAGCCCGUUGCCCACCACCCCGGCCACAAACAUCAGCGCGCUGGUCACCGGCCCCCCGUUGCCCUGGACGUAGACCUCAGCUUCCUCACUGGGCUAAGCCAUCUCUAAGGGACUUUCCAGAGUCAGAUCCCACGAUUAGCCCAGGAUAUCAGACCCAGAGCAGCCUUCCCUUCUGCCAGCCUCCCCUCCUCCUCCAUACCAGUAAAGAUCCCGUACUGACAACUGGCAGCACAGCCUGAUAUCUGACACUUUCGAAGUUCCACCAGCCUCCUGGCCUCUUACCCACCCCCACUCCCGGGCGGGAGUUCUUCCUGUGCUUGCAUUCAUCAGGAAUUUGAAGAGAGAAUCAAGUGCCUUUUUCUUGAAGAUGAAAGCCUAAAAACCAUGCCCCCUAUUCUCCCAAGCUCUCAUCAACUCUGGGUUUCAGAAAUUGUGAAAAAAUAGAAAAGAAAUAAUGACGGGCGUGGCUUCAAAGAAUGGGAAGAUUUGUACCAACAUCCUACUCAGCCCCAGAGAAAAAAAUUAAUGGACUUAAAAUGAGGACUAAGGUGUAUAUUUUUGGACAUGGACAAUAUGGGAAUUUGUUUUGUUUAAGUACACAUCUUUGUAACAGGUUUUAUUUUUCUUGUCUUCUCAAUGGAGGGGAGAGGAUGCACGAUGGUGAGAAGUAGAAAGAAGAGAAGUUAGAAUUUGGUAAAAACAAAAAUAAAAUUUAAUUUAAACAAACAAAAAAAAGAAAGCGGGAAACAUGGAGUGAUUAAUCUCCAGUAGAGAGAUGUGCCUUAUGCAAAUAGGUAACAUUGACAAAAUUAUAAAGCACAAGCUUGGCCCCAAAGCAGGUAAAUGAGAAAACACUUCCCUUUGCUCCCUUGGAUGGAUAUGGAAUACUGUAGAUAACAUCAGAUUUUUUUUUAAUGUACUGAUUAUUGGUUUGUUUUUUCUCUCUUCUCUUUUUCUUUAUCUAAAAAAAAUUUGUCAUUAUGAAUGAUUCCCUGGAUAGAUGGAGAGGGAAGGAUACUAGGGAAAAUUGAGGUGAAAUAGAAUAAAAGAUAAUAAAAAAUCAUUUUUUUAAAAAUUAGGGGUAAAAAUUAAACAUUAUAUAAUAGAGAUAUGUUUUUGCAUGUAAUCUUCUUUCUGUUCUUUUAUGUGGAAGUGUUACUUGGUUUUUGUCAAAUUCAGAACAAUAAAUUAAUUAUCCUUUUUCAAAUGGAGUGCAAUAAUAGACUCUCAUAAAAGGGUAUCUAGAUACACCAGGAACACUUAAAACCUAAGAAUGGGAGUUUCAAAAGUAGGAAUUUUCAAGUCUUUAAUGAAUGGAAAUGCUAAUGUUGUGUUUUAUAAAUUUCAAUUCUAUCUAGCUUUGUUUAUUUCUUUGGAUCAUUUGAAGUUUGGAAGUCUUUCUGAUAAAUUUAUGAAAAAGAAUGAUGAAGCUAAAUGGAACCUAGGCAGAUAUUGGGAAAUUAGAAGUGUUUCCUGGCUCCUGAACAGAGAACUAGAUAAGCAGUCUAUAUUUACCCAAGUGAGAAAGAGGCCUGGAACUAUUAACUCAAGUUUGGAGCACCACCUGGUGGUUCAUACUGAGUUUUAUUCUGACUAGGUAUUCCAGGACACACCCCUGAGAGGAACAUGGGCGUUGACACCCAUCCACCUGCCAAGGAGUGGAUCCUUUAGUACUGAGAAAAGUCUUGAACAUUUUAUACUUAAGGUUGUUUCAUUUAGGCUUAAUUUCUUUUCCCCCAUUUAACUGAAAAAUAAUUGUCUGAAUUUCAUUUUUUUGGUUUUGUUUUUGUUUCUUUUAU